ACCGGGAAGUCAGGGUCAGCAAGAUGAUGUUCCUGACCCAGGUCUUCACGUGCCUGUUGCUCUGGGUCUCUGGUGUCUGCAGUGACAUUGUGAUGACCCAGUCUCCAGGCCCCCUUGCUGUGUCUGCUGGAGAGAGCGCCACCAUCCACUGCAAGUCCAGCCAGAGUCUUCAAUCUGGCAGUAGCAACUACUUAGCCUGGUACCAGCAGAAAGCAGGACAGCCUCCCAAACUGCUCAUCUACAGGGCAUCCACCCGGGUAUCUGGGAUCCCAGACCGGUUCAGUGGCAGUGGGUCUGGGACGGAUUUCACUCUCACCAUCAGCAGUGUGCAGGCUGAAGAUGUGGCCAAUUAUUACUGUCAGCAACAUUAUGAGCGCCCUCCCACAGUGAUUCAGCCUCGAACAUAAACUUCCCCUCAGGGUCUCCC